rnacentral:tRNA from 1 species
GCCGAAGUAGCUCAGUGGUAGAGCAGUCCCUUCGUAAGGGAAAGGUCGGAGGUUCAACUCCUCUCUUCGGCUCCG